AUUGAACGCUGGCGGCAGGCUUAACACAUGCAAGUCGAGCGGAGAUGAGGUGCUUGCACCUUAUCUUAGCGGCGGACGGGUGAGUAAUGCUUAGGAAUCUGCCUAUUAGUGGGGGACAACAUUCCGAAAGGAAUGCUAAUACCGCAUACGUCCUACGGGAGAAAGCAGGGGAUCUUCGGACCUUGCGCUAAAUGAUGAGCCUAAGUCGGAUUAGCUAGUUGGUGGGGUAAAGGCCUACCAAGGCGACGAUCUGUAGCGGGUCUGAGAGGAUGAUACGCCACACUGGGACUGAGACACGGCCCAGACUCCUACGGGAGGCAGCAGUGGGGAAUAUUGGACAAUGGGCGGAAGCCUGAUCCAGCCAUGCCGCGUGUGUGAAGAAGGCCUUUUGGUUGUAAAGCACUUUAAGCGAGGAGGAGGCUCUCCUAGUUAAUACCUAGGAAGAGUGGACGUUACUCGCAGAAUAAGCACCGGCUAACUCUGUGCCAGCAGCCGCGGUAACAC
rnacentral:rRNA from 1 species